rnacentral:rRNA from 1 species
GAUGAACGCUGGCGGCGUGCCUAAUACAUGCAAGUCGAGCGAACGGACGAGAAGCUUGCUUCUCUGAUGUUAGCGGCGGGCGGGUGAGUAACACGUGGAUAACCUACCUAUAAGACUGGGAUAAUUUCGGGAAACCGGAGCUAAUACCGGAUAAUAUUUUGAACCGCAUGGUUCAAAAGUGAAAGACGGUCUUGCUGUCACUUAUAGAUGGAUCCGCGCUGCAUUAGCUAGUUGGUAAGGUAACGGCUUACCAAGGCAACGAUGCAUAGCCGACCUGAGAGGGUGAUCGGCCACACUGGAACUGAGACACGGUCCAGACUCCUGCGGGAGGCAGCAGUAGGGAAUCUUCCGCAAUGGGCGAAAGCCUGACGGAGCAACGCCGCGUGAGUGAUGAAGGUCUUCGGAUCGUAAAGCUCUGUUAUUAGGGAAGAACAUAUGUGUAAGUAACUGUGCACAUCUUGACGGUACCUAAUCAGAAAGCCACGGCUAACUACGUG